GUCAGGUUGGCCGAGUGGUCUAAGGCGCCAGAUUUAAGCUCUGGUUCCCAGUUGGGAGCGUGGGUUCGAACCCCACACCUGACA
rfam:Papilio machaon contig47421, whole genome shotgun sequence.